rnacentral:piRNA from 1 species
UGCCAAGCUGAGUCUUCCCACUUUAAAU